rnacentral:sRNA from 1 species
CGUCUCUGCGGCUGACAGAGGAUGAGAACCUCCGAAGGAGGUUUGCGCCGAGCGGAGCGAGACAACGUUGCGUCAGCAACGGCCCGCAGGGGAAUAAUCCUCUCUCGCCGACCA